rnacentral:rRNA from 1 species
GAUGAACGCUGGCGGCGUGCCUAAUACAUGCAAGUCGAGCGAACAGACGAGGAGCUUGCUCCUCUGACGUUAGCGGCGGACGGGUGAGUAACACGUGGAUAACCUACCUAUAAGACUGGGAUAACUUCGGGAAACCGGAGCUAAUACCGGAUAAUAUAUUGAACCGCAUGGUUCAAUAGUGAAAGACGGUUUUGCUGUCACUUAUAGAUGGAUCCGCGCCGCAUUAGCUAGUUGGUAAGGUAACGGCUUACCAAGGCAACGAUGCGUAGCCGACCUGAGAGGGGGAGCGGCAACACUGGAACUGAGACCCGGUCCAGACCCCUACGGGAGGCAGCAGUAGGGAAUCUUCCGAAAUGGGCGAAAGCCUGACGGAGCAACGCCGCGGGAGUGAUGAAGGUCUUCGGAUCAUAAACCUCUGUUAUUAGGGAAAAACAAAUGUGUAAGUAACUAUGCACGUCUUGACGGUACCUAAUCAGAAAGCCACGGCUAACUACGUG